UCUAGGAUCAAAAUAAUGGUUUCAAUCCCAGAAUACUAUGAAGGCAAGAAUGUCCUCCUCACAGGAGCUACUGGUUUUCUAGGGAAGGUGCUUUCUGGAAAAGUUGCUGAGAUCUUGUCCUAAGGUGAAUUCAGUGUAUGUUUUGGUGAGGCAGAAAGCUAGACAGACACCACAAGAGCGAGUAGAAGAAAUCCUUAGUGGCAAGCUCUUUGACAGACUGAGAGAUGAAAAUCCAGAUUUUAGAGAGAAAAUUAUAGCAAUCGACAGCGAACUCACCCAACCUAAACUGGCUCUCAGUGAAGAAGAUAAAGAGGUGAUCAUAGAUUCUACCAAUAUUAUAUUCCACUGUGCAGCUACAGUAAGGUUUAAUGAAAACUUAAGAGAUGCUGUUCGGGUAAGUGCGAUUGCAAUGCGACAGCUUAUUCUCCUUGCACAACAAAUGAAGAACCUGGAGGUGUUCAUGCAUGUAUCAACAGCAUGUGCCUGCUGUAACCAAAAGCAUAUUGAUGAAGUAGUCUACCCACCACCUGUGGAUCCCAAGAAGCUGACCGAUUCUUUAGAGUGGAUGGAUGAUGGCCUAGUAAAUGAUAUCACACCAAAAUUGAAAGGAGACAGACCUAAUACCUACAUAUACACAAAAGCAUUGGCAGAAUAUGUUGUACAACAGGAAGGAGCAAAGCUAAAUGUGGCGAUUAUAAGGCUAUCGAUUGUUGGUGCCAGUUGGAAAGAACUUUUUCCAGGAUGGAUUGAUAAUUUUAAUGGACCAAGUGGGCUCUUUAUUGCAGCAGGGAAAGGAAUUCUUCAAAAAAUGCGUGCCUCCAACAGGGCCCUUGCAGAUCUUGUUCCUGUAGACGUAGUUGUCAACGAGUCUUGCAGCAGCCUGGCAUCCCGGAGUUAACAGACCAUGAAACGCCAUGGUGUAUAAUUGUACAACAGGCAGCACUCAUCCUUUCCACUGGGGUGAAAUUGAAUACCAUGUAAUUUCCACUUUCAAGAGGAAUCCUCUCGAACAGGCCUUCAGACGGCCCAGUGUAAAUCUAACCUCCAAUCACCUUUUACAUCAUUACUGGAUUGUUGUAAGCCAUAAGGCCCCAGCAUUCCUGUAUGAUAUCUACCGCAGGAUGACUGGAAGAAGCUCAAGGAUGAUGAAAGCAAUUACUCGUUUUCAGAAAGCUAUGAUGUUUCUUGAAUAUUGCACAAGUAAUUCUUGGGUUUGGAAUACUGACAAUGUCAAUAUGUUAAUUAAUCAACUAAACCCUGAAGAUAAAAAGACCUUCAAUAUUGAUGUACGGCAGUUACAUUGGGCAGAAUAUCUAGAGAACUACUGCAUGGGAACUAAGAAGUACGUGUUGAAUGAAGAAAUGUCUGGCCUCCUUGCGGCCAGAAAACAUCUGAACAAGUUGCGAAAUAUACGUUAUGGUUUUUUUUUCUUUUUUUUUUGAGAUGGAGUUUCACUGCUGUUACCCAGGCUGUAGUGUAAUGGCGCGAUCUCGGCUCACCGCAACCUCCGCCUCCUGGGUUCAGGCAAUUCUCCUGCCUCAGCCUCCUGAGUAGCUGGGAUUACAGGCACGCGCCACCAUGCCCAGCUAAUUUUUUGUAUUUUUAGUAGAGACGGGGUUUCACCUUGUUGACCAGGAUGGUCUUGAUCUCUUGACCUCGUGAUCCACCCACCUCGGCCUCCCAAAGUGCUGGGAUUACAGGCGUGAGCCACCGCACCCGGCCACGUUAUGGUUUUAAUACUAUCCUUGUGAUCCUCAUCUGAUGCAUUUUUAUUGUAAGAUCACAGAUGGCAAGUAACAUCUGGUACUUUGUGGUUAGUCUGUGUUACAAGUUUCUGUCAUACUUCCGAGCAUCCAGCACUAUGAGAUACUGAAGACCAAGAAUUCAGCAUUAGAACAUCUAUGCAUAUGGUGGUCUAAAUGCCCAAAACGUAAAAUGUACUUAAGUCAUCUCACCUUUUGUCAAGGCAUUAAAUCAUCUUAGAUUGGAGUUUGAAGUAAAUUAUGGUACAUUUUAUGUAACAUUUUAAUGUUUAUGCUCACAAAACCUAGUGAACACACUGUGUUAUGCCAGCUCAAAUCUACAAUAGCCACCAAAACCAUGACUUAAUACUCUGAGCCUAGAAGAAAGGGGUGGGAUGAGGGCAGAAGUGGGGAAAUUGGAACACUGAUCAGUAUAACUGUGCAAUUCUGGAACAUACUGAUUAAAAUAUGCCUUAAAAUAUAGUGAAUUUCUAAUUCUAAUAUUCAGUGCAAUGGAAGACAUUUAUUUGGACAAUAAUACUAGCUAAGUUGGAAGAUACUUGAUUCUUCAGUGUUUGAUUUUUUCAUUAGUUGCAGUAGGUUUUAGUUUUUUUUUAAUUAUAACCAACCUAUUUUCCCAUCAUCUUGUAAGUUAAAUGAUAUCAAACAUGAAAGACAUGUUCUCAUUUUUCUUUUUCUGAUUAAAUGUCUGAUACAUAUCAUUUUUCUAUAAGAAAUCAGUUGCUUUUAAAAUCAGAAGGCUAUAUUAUUCUAAUGACCCUCCUGGAUCUAAAUGAGUUUGAGAAUCCAUAUCAACCUAUGCUAUGAGUUUUUUGACAGAAAGUGAAAACAAAUUCAGUAAAACUGUUAGUAUCAAAAAUAAUAGGAAUACAGUUUUCCUAUCGACAUUAUGAUCAAAUAAAGAUACUGUGAGAUUGU